rnacentral:rRNA from 1 species
UGGGGAAUUUUGCACAAUGGGGGAAACCCUGAUGCAGCGACGCCGCGUGAUUUAGAAGGCCUUCGGGUUGUAAAAAUCUUUUCUAUGGGAAGAAAAUGACAGUACCAUAGGAAUAAGGACCGGCUAAUUACGUGCCAGCAGCCGCGGUAAUACGUAAGGUCCGAGCGUUGUCCGGAAUCAUUGGGCGUAAAGGGUACGUAGGCGGGUAAGCAAGUUAGAAGUGAAAUCCUAUAGCUCAACUAUAGUAAGCUUUUAAAACUGCUCAUCUUGAGGUAUGGAAGGGCAAGUGGAAUUCCUAGUGUAGCGGUGAAAUGCGCAGAUAUUAGGAGGAAUACCGGUGGCGAAGGCGACUUUCUGGUCAUAACCUGAUGCUGAGGUACGAAAGCGUGGGUAGCAAACAGG